rnacentral:lncRNA from 1 species
AAUUAACUUUAUACUUUUAACAACAAAACAAUUCCUAAAGGGAGGUCAAUACAGUUUGUUUAUUGUUAAUUUUUUCAUUUUUAUUCAUUAAAUAGAUGUAUGGCUAGAUAAAAUCUAAAAAAUAUAAUUUGAUACUAUCCCAAGGGAAAAUUUAAGCUAAAAAAUUGAGAAUUGUAAACAUUUAUGAUAAUUUGUUUGUUCUUUGGUGAUUAAAUAGUCACAAUGCAUAUUUGUAAUCAUGAAAACGAUUAAUGAAAAUAUGCUAGGUAAAUGAAACUGCAUUCUAGUUUUCAAUUCAAACCUGAUCUGAACCUCCAUGUAUAAUGUGCAUUUUCUUAAAAAUUACUAUCAUGAAUUUAUGAUACAGAGAUAGGUCUCAAUGUUAAGGGAUGACCAUUUUACUAUAUUCAAUCUUCACAUAGGACUGUGGACAUGAAAAGAAGGUGGUUGACCACUUUACUAUAUUCAAUAUUCACAUAGGACUGUGGACAUGAAAAGAAGGUGGUUGUACUAUUAAUCUAUUAUAUUCUUUACAAAUAAUGGCAUAAUGAAUGAUAUAGAAUUUAAAUAAUGAAAUAAUUUAAAAAAGAUAUUUGUGUGAUUCUCUUAAUAAUGUUUUAAUAUAUUUAUGUGUGAUGAUCUUAAUAAUGCUGGAUAUAUAUCACAAUGAUAAAAAAUGGCACAUUUAAAGUGAUUAAGUUUAGUUUCUAAUAUAGCUAGUUAUAUGGUAGUUAAAUAUCACAUAAUAUGGUCAGUAGUGGAAGAUUGACAAUAAGUGAAUACUUUCUGAUUUGAGUAUUCUAAUUUGUCAAAAAGGAGAUAAUUCAUACUUUUUUAAAUACAUGAUUACAAUAUAUAAUUUGUUGAAGAAAUGAUCAUUAUUAAAAUACAGUCAUACACCCCUAAAAGUCAUGGAAGUAAUCUUAAUAAAAGAGGGGCAAAUGUUUUGUAACAAUAGUAAAUAAAGAAAAUAAAUGAAAGUUUGCACUAGUCAAUAUAAGUUUUUAAAACUAAUAGAUGGUCUGUUUA